rnacentral:rRNA from 1 species
GUCCACGCGGUAAACGAUGAAUACUAGGUGUAGGGGUAUCAACUCCCCCUGUGCCGCAGCUAACGCAAUAAGUAUUCCGCCUGGGGAGUACGGCCGCAAGGUUGAAACUCAAAGGAAUUGACGGGGGCCCGCACAAGCAGCGGAGCAUGUGGUUUAAUUCGACGCAACGCGAAGAACCUUACCAAGGCUUGACAUCUACUUAAAGUCAUGGAAACAUGAUGUCUCUUCGGAGGAAGUAAGACAGGUGGUGCAUGGUUGUCGU